CACCAGGAAUUGCGGGAGCACUCAGAGCCAGCGCAGCAGGGGGUGGCAGCUGGGUCUCUGAAUGCUCUUUCUUAUUUUAUUAUUCUGAGAGCUGGGUCUCAUGUAGCCAAGAAACUGUGAGCAUCAACAAGUCUGUAGCGGGAAGGAGCGGGCCUAACCCAGGAGGCUCCAGUGUCCGGCCCAUACCUCCAUGUAAACCAGCCCACCCUGUCUCCCAGAACCUCCUCUGGCUGCUGGGACCUGCUCUCCGAAUUGCCAAAUGAACACCUAUCACAUCAGCAGCCCUCACUGCCUGCCUAGGAGGAAUACCAGGGCGUUCCACACUGGCUCCUGCCGCUCACUGAGGAGAGAGCCUGACCUGAAGCGAGAUGAGGAAACUGGACACCUUCCCAGCCACUCGUGAGUCAGAGGCACUGGAGACAGAGUCUGCUUCCCUCCUGGAGCUGAUGGGGGUGAAUACACACAAAACCACAGAAGAUCUUUUCCAACAGUGGUCAGUGCUGUGCAUAAAAUAAAACUGGGUGGGUACCAUGGCAACUCCUGACCAGAGAGAGAGGGCAUGGUCAUGUGUUCUCAGAUGUUACAGGAAUGAUCUUUCCGAGGACAUGGCAUUUGUGCUGAGCCCCAGAGAGGAAGAAUGUGUGAAUGGUGUGAACAGAGAAGGGAAAAGAAGCCUGCUGUACUUAAGGAAGCAGUCUGAGCACAAGGCUGGGGAAGGAAAGACCUGGGCAUGCCCUAAACAAGGGUAGAGGGGCAAGCAAUGUCAGCCCUGCAGGUCAUCCUGUCCAUAUUCUGGACUUUUACUUCACACUGAGGGAAUGAGAAACCACAUGGGGUUUGAGUAGAGAGACCAGUGAAGAAGCCAGAAGCCAACCAAAUACAUGUUGUAUACCCUAUCCAGCCCUGCAUGUUUCUGUAAAUAGGUGUGUUCAGUCAUUUACGUAUUAUCUAUGGCUGCUUCCACACCACACAAGCACUGUUGAGCACUUAUACCAAAACCCACCUUCUCUGUGCAGCCUCAACUCUUUUCUUUCUUCCUGGUCCCUUAUAAGAAAGUCUUUUGGUUCUUCAUCUAAA